AACGUAGGUGGCGAGCGUUAUCCGGAUUCAUUGGGCGUAAAGAGCUUGUAGGUGGCGGCGUAAGUUGGACGUGAAAUCGCCCGGCUCAACCGGGCGGGGUCGUUCAAUACUGCGCGGCUAGAGGAGGUCAGAGGGAAGUGGAAUUCCUGGUGUAGCAGUGAAAUGCGUAGAUAUCAGGAAGAAUAUCCGUGGCGAAGGCGGCUCUCUGGGACGGUACUGACGCUGAGACGCGAAAAGCGUGGGGAGCGAACAGG
rnacentral:rRNA from 1 species